UCAAUAUGAUGGCCAGGAGAAGGGGCGGUGUUUUGUGUUUAUGCUCCGCCUAUAGUGUUAUGCUCCGCCCAGUCUAGAGCUGAGGCCGUUGCUGUCGUGUAGCGGCUUUAUUGCUUGUGCGAGAGCGGCUCAUUGUGUAUUACAGCCCGAAGUGAGUGGUGCACGGGAGGCGCUGCGCGUGUCCUUUUGUAAUAACAUGGCUGAUUACUUGAUCAGUGGUGGCACUGGCUACGUUCCUGAGGACGGACUCACCGCACAGCAGCUUUUUGCUAUCUCUGAUGGUCUCACCUACAAAUACAAGUAAAUAACUGUAAUUCACGCUUUUCCUGCGUUUUGUGACGAUUAUGGAGCAGGAGGAUAGAGCCAGAAGUGAGAUUUCAGCAGAAGCUUUAUUACAAAAGAAUCCAGACUGGCAAGUGCUUCCUUUAUACUUCUAUAAUCACAUUAUGUAA